rnacentral:rRNA from 1 species
AUUGAACGCUGGCGGCGGGCCUAACACAUGCAAGUCGAACGAGUGGCGGACGGGUGAGUAAUGUCUGGGAAACUGCCUGAUGGAGGGGGAUAACUACUGGAAACGGUAGCUAAUACCGCAUACCAUCAGAUGUGCCCAGAUGGGAUUAGCUCGGAGGUGGGGUAACGGCUCACCUAGGCGACGAUCCCUAGCUGGUCUGAGAGUAAGACCAGCCACCCUGGAACGGAGACACGGUCCAGCCUCCUACGGGAGGCAGCAGUGGGGAAUAUUGCACAAUGGGCGCAAGCCUGAUGCAGCCAUGCCGCGUGUAUGAAGAAGGCCUUCGGGUUGUAAAGUACUUUCAGCGGGGAGGCGUUACCCGCAGAAGAAGCACCGGCUAACUCCGUGCCAGCCGCCGCGGUAAUUC